AUUAGCAUGUUAAUGUAAGAUCGGUGAGCGGCCUCCAUGGCGAGUGCGCUGAGGUGGCUAUGUUAAUGUGAGAGAUUAGCAUGUUAAUGGCAGAUCGCAGAGCCGCCGCCACCUCUAGCUCGGCGCACGAAGGUGGCCGUGUUCGUGUGAGAAAUUGUACCUGUUAAUGUAUCAUCAUAUAAAGUGGAGUAGGUUGGAGUGCUGCUGAAAAAACGGAAAUUGAUCAUGAAAAGCAAGGUAACAAUGUGCAACAGAAGAAAUAUUGUAAUCAGUGUAUAUCACUUGCUGUGAAAUCGGCAUUGGAAAUAUGGCUAUUGACAAAUAAAAUGGAACAAAUGCUCGAAAGGAGUGUGAAGAGAUCCUUGCUGGGAAUUGCAGUUAGAGACAGAAUGUUGAACACAGAGAACAUAUGCAAAUUAUAUGCAUGAUAUUGAAAGUUCAAGGAAAGUGGGUGGACAGGGCACGAUGCCUGGCGGUUGAGACUAAAGAUGGAGUGGCAGCUAAAGGAGAAAACAUGCCUGACAGGAUGACCACCGCCAAGAUAGAGGGAUGAGAUCAACUCGUACGUAGCAGCGUGGAUUAUUGCAUUCUGAGACUGUGAGGGAUGACAAUGUUUGGGGAGACCUCCAUCUGGCAGUGGAUAGUUAAUGUCUGAUGACAAGAUUGAUGUAUGUUCCCACAUUGCAAAUAGAGUUUCACCAUUUAGAAGAUUCCUGACAGAACAUAUAUUAUACGUAAACAGAUAAUAUUAAUGUAAGGUUUGUAAGUUGUAAGGUUUGUAAGUGGUAAGCUUUGUAAGUUAAUAUCCAGAGUUAAUAUAGACGUGAAUUAUCUAGUAGCAUCUGUUAUCAUUUAUUGGUAUGUAAUGUGUUGUUAAACUAUCCGGGUGGCUUUGUGGUCGAGACAGCAGCUCACAAUCGGAAGGUUGCGAGUUAAAAUCCCGGUUGGGGGCCGACUCGACCAAUCAUACCUCUGGGGUUGAUAAAAUAGGCAGUACUUUAUGAGGUCAACAGUACUUUUUGUAUGGAUCCCCACCCCAUAGAAAUGUGGAAUUUCCACGAGUGGCUCUGCAGGGCUGUAAAUAGGGGAUGAGCACUACCUCAAUAAUGCUAAUUUCGUCAGGAAAUCACUUUUAAUGUGUCACGUUAUGUUCUAUGGGGUUAUUGUGUUAAGUUUGUUACUCCAAUUAAUGUGCUGGUAAUACAGUCAGGGUCAUCCAUCCGGUGAGCCCGAGAAGGCAAUCCCAUUAUUCAGCGUGAGAAGCUGAUCCCCCACGGUGCUUUACAGAGCGGCUUUAAUAUACACAUAUAUCACCGAUGUAUCAGUCUCUCUGGUGGCUUAUGUUAAAUGUCAUGCUACUUUACGGCACAGCAGCCACAGCAAAUGAAUGUCAGGUGGUGAUUUGAUUUACUAUACUGUGUUUGCUUUCGACAGGUGCAUGCAAUGCAUUAAUUAACGUACAAAUAGAAGAUUGACACCAUUGCAAAAACGAGCAUGAAUUGCUACGUAAAUUAAGCUAGAUACGUGUUAUGAGAACGAUAUAUAAUAUUAAAGGGUAAUGCAAAAAUAGGGAAAAAAAA